AUUAACGCAUAAGGAAAGUUGGAGCUCUCCGUAGGCAUGAAGAAAGUUAUAUUGGCCAGAAAGCAAACAGGAAAGGAGAUGGAAGAAAAACAACCCCCAGACCUGCUGCUUUACGUUCCCCUUGUCGACUGUUUACCGGCCUGGCAGGCAGAGGCCUCCAAGCCCUGUCAAUAACCUGUCUUUUGCUUUAAAGCUUUAUUUUAGACGUUUGCACAAUACCACACACUUUCUCAGCCUGUAGUGAAUAUCAUUCUGCUCACCUGCUCAGGCUCUGCAGCUUCCUCCAAACAGGACAUUAUGCCACUGGGAUAACCUGCAGAACCAAGAGCACUUCCACUGUUUCAAGAUAUUAGAUCUUGCAGAGGAAUACAGAAGGCUACAGAAAUAAAAGAUUGUUGGGAAACUCAAUUUUGACCUUAUACAUACACACAUAUAUAUAUGU